UACGUAGGGUGCAAGCGUUAAUCGGAAUUACUGGGCGUAAAGCGUGCGCAGGCGGUUUGUAAGUCUGUCGUGAAAGCCCCGGGCUCAACCUGGGAAUUGCGAUGGAGACUGCAAGGCUUGAAUCUGGCAGAGGGGGUAGAAUUCCACGUGUAGCAGUGAAAUGCGUAGAGAUGUGGAGGAACACCGAUGGCGAAGGCAGCCCCCUGGGUCAAGAUUGACGCUCAUGCACGAAAGCGUGGGGAGCAAACAGG
rnacentral:rRNA from 1 species